GACAGAGGGUGCAAACGUUGUUCGGAUUCAUUGGGCGUAAAGGGUGCGUAGGCGGCGCGGUAAGUCGGGUGUGAAAUUUCGGAGCUUAACUCCGAAACUGCAUUCGAUACUGCCGUGCUUGAGGACUGGAGAGGAGACUGGAAUUUACGGUGUAGCGGUGAAAUGCGUAGAUAUCGGGAGGAACACCAGUGGCGAAGGCGGUUACCUGGAGCUUUGCUGACGCUGAUGCGCGAAAGCGUGGGAGCGAGUCCGG
rnacentral:rRNA from 1 species